rnacentral:rRNA from 1 species
UACGUAGGGGGCUAGCGUUGUCCGGAAUCAUUGGGCGUAAAGAGCGCGUAGGCGGCCAGGCAAGUCCGGUGUGAAAGUCACAGGCUCAACCUGUGAAUGCCGCUGGAAACUGUCUGGCUAGAGUCCGGAAGGGGCGAGUGGAAUUCCUGGUGUAGCGGUGAGAUGCGCAGAUAUCAGGAGGAACACCUAUGGCGAAGGCAGCUCGCUGGGACGGUACUGACGCUGAGGCGCGAAAGCGUGGGGAGCGAACAGG